AGAGUCAUAUCCGAAUGAAGGCAAAUGAGAUUCAUGUAAUUGACAGCCAAUGAAAUAGUCAUGGGACUCUCUGCUGAAACACACAGAAAACCACAACAGAGAGAAUCAGAAGAAGGCAGGAGAUAUUCUCUGCCAGGACUCGUUUUUAGAGAAGACCUCAGCUGCUUUGACUAAAUCGGGUCAACUGAAAUGCCUCCGUUCCUCACCAUGAAUUUGGCAUCCUUCUCGCUAAUAUUAAUGGCUCUCCUAUCAAGAACUCUUUUCUGCCAAGCUGCAAAUCCUGUCCAGGAACCCCUGCUAGAAGCAUCCAAUGGAAGAGAAGCAGACCUUAAUUGCUCCCAUCCCAACAUUCAAACAAGCGAAAGUAUCUAUUGGUACCGACAGUUCCCUAGCCAGCCUCCCCAUCUCAUUGCAACUGGAUACAAGGGAACAAAGAAGAGCGACUUAGGGGAGAGAAUUUCCUUGAUCAUUCCUGAUGAGCGAAAAAAUAGCAUCCUCUCCUUCACCGAAGUCACCUUUGAGGACCAGGCAUUGUACCUCUGUGCUCUGAGAGACACUGUGUCACAUUCUAGUGGCUUCCUUUGGCUCUCUUACCAGUGUGGGGAGCUAGAUUCAUAUCCGAAUGAAGGCAAAUGA